ACCCAGCUGGCAAUGCAGGCAGCAGAGCUUGAUUCCUCAGGUCACUGUGGUGCAGCAGAAGAUGAAGAGACACUGGAGUAUCUGAGGGCACAAAAAAAAGAAGUUUGGAAAGAUGUUCAUCCUCAUUGCCUGAUUUCUGUUUCCUUCUCAGUGCUGCACAGACUAUUCUGCCCUGUCCCUGGCUGCCUGUGGCCUCCCUAGAUCUCCCCUCAGCAUGCCACAUGCUUGUGCUCCAUUGCUGAAUCCGUGCUGCAUGCAGGAGUCAGGGGUGGCACAGGAAGAGCUGCACUCAAUGGACUGUCAUCUGUGUAGUGGAGACAUCUCUUGCUGGAGGGCUGUGGACAGCAGAGGCAGCACCACGAUGCAUUUUGCCAUAGGCUGGUGAGCCCCAGAACAGGUGCCAUACAGCUGUCUGUAUUCUUCCUUUGGCUCUUCCCUUGGUGCCUGUAUAGCCCUUGCCAUCCUGUGCUUGAGGCUGCCUCUGAUGUCCUGUGGUGGGGUCCAGCAGAGAUGAGAGGACUACUCAAAUAGGUGGGACACAGGGAAAGCAAUUGUGCAGGUGUGGAGACACCUAACAUGCAGCUGUCUGAACUGAGGAACUCACACCGUGCUUCCUGCUCCGGCAUUGCUCCAACAUUGGAGCAUUUUGCCCGUUUUAAUCAAGUACCGUGAAAUCUGUAGGCACUCUAGGACCACAUUCACAAUUAGAGACAGAGAAGCUGGGUAACAGCUGCAGCCGUCAGGGAGACAACAGCUCACAUAUAUUGAAACAUACAGAAAUACUCUUUCCAGAAAACUGGACUAUGUCUGACUAUUUGCUUAGGGGGGGAACCUCAAUGCCCAAAGGCAGCCAGUGCUGUCCCCAUGCCAGCUUUCAGCUCCAUCUGGGCAUCCCUACAGCCUCAGGAGCCAGCAGCUGCUGAGCACUCCACAGCACUGAAAGCUGCUCCCACACGGGCUCCUGCACAGGUCCUGCUGGAGCACACGCUGUCGGCCGAGGAGGAGGAGGAGGAGGAAGGCACUGAAGCAAAGCCAGAGAUACAGAAUCUUCUAUUUGUCCUGAAGCCUAUUCUGUCUCUGGCAGCUGCCCAUUCGACAGCCACAUAUCACAAAAUCUCAGCCCUCUGCAAAGUGAAUUAAAAGUGAAGUAAACCUCCUGGAAACCCCUGAGCCCGGCAGCAGGGCACGAGGAGAAGGGGGCCAGGGCCAUCUGAGAGAGCAGAGGCUUCCUGCUGUCAGAGGUAAAGUCCAUCCAUAUUCACUGUGCUGUUACUGGGCUGACUGUGGCAACCAGGGGACCUGCAGCAGCCACCUCUCCCUUGGUAGCUUCUGUAAAACUGAUUUUUCAGUUGCACUGUUCUGCUGACUGAUGUGGAGAGGGCAAAAAUGGUUGGGAGCUGUUGAAGGCAUUAAUGGUGUAAGGGUGGUCUGAAAUAGAGCAUCUCCGGUCUCUGUUCAACCCAGGAAAAACACUUGAAUUUUGCUGGAAGUAGAUACUUUUU
rnacentral:lncRNA from 1 species